rnacentral:rRNA from 1 species
GAUGAACGCUGGCGGCGUGCUUAACACAUGCAAGUCGAACGGUAACGGCGGAGCUUGUUCUGCUGGAUCAGUGGCGAACGGGUGAGUAACACGUGAGCAACCUGCCCCUGACUUUGGGAUAAGCGCUGGAAACGGCGUCUAAUACAGGAUACGAGCUGCGAAGGCAUCUUCAGCAGCUGGACAGAAUAUCGGUCACGGAUGAGCUGGCGGCCUAUGAGCUUGUUGGUGAGGGAAUGGCUCACCAAGGGGGCGACGGGUAGCCGGCCUGAGAGGGUGACCGGGCACCCGGGGACUGAGACACGGCGCAGAGUGCAACAUGAGGCAGCGGGGGGAAAUAUGGCACAAUGGGAGAGAGCCUGAUGCAGCAGCGCCGCGUGAGGGAAGACGGCCUGCGGGGUAUAAACCGCUUUUGGCAGAGAAGAAGCGAAAGUGACGGUACCUGCAGAAAAAGCACCGGCUAACUACGUG